rnacentral:rRNA from 1 species
GAUGAACGCUGGCGGCGUGCCUAAUACAUGCAAGUCGAGCGAACGGACGAGAAGCUUGCUUCUCUGAUGUUAGCGGCGGACGGGUGAGUAACACGUGGAUAACCUACCUAUAAGACUGGGAUAACUUCGGGAAACCGGAGCUAAUACCGGAUAAUAUUUUGAACCGCAUGGUUCAAAAGUGAAAAACGGUAUUGCUGUCAUUUAUAGAUGGAUCCGCGCUGCAUUAGCUAGUUGGUAAGGUAACGGCUUACCAAGGCAACGAUGCAUAGCCGACCUGAGAGGGUAAUCGGCCACACUGGAACUGAGACACGGUCCAGACUCCUACGGGAGGCAGCGGUGGGGAGUCUUCCGCAAUGGGCGAAUGCCUAACGGAGCAACGCCGCGUGGGUGAUGAAGGUCUUCGGAUCUUAAAACUCUGUUAUUAGGAAAGAACAUAUGUGUAAGUAACUGUGCACAUCUUGACGGUACCUAAUCAGAAAGCCACGGCUAACUACGUG